CUCGUAUGCAUCAUUCGACCGGGCGGUCGAGCUGGUAAAACGGGCCGGGCAUGGGGCGCUUAUGGCCAAAGUGGAUGUUGAGGCAGCGUUUCGGCUGCUGCCAGUCCACCCGGACUGUCACCACCUGCUGGGAUGUUUUUUCGAGGGGAAGUAUUUCGUGGACUUGUGCCUCCCAAUGGGCUGUUCCAUUUCAUGCUCCUAUUUCGAGAAGUUUAGUACUUUUCUCGAAUGGGUGGUGCGGGUGGAGGCAGGG
rnacentral:lncRNA from 1 species